GGUCUGUGAUGGGUUUUGGCAUGUAUUAUCAGCGUAUAAAUGUGAAGAUUAUCAGUUUAGCUCUAGAUUUACUCUGAGACCUG
rnacentral:snoRNA from 1 species